CGUAAUGUUGGCAAAAGGUGACUAGGGAAUGCAGGACCUAUGUCUAAAAAGGCUCGACUCUGGUAUUGGAGCCCUAAUGUUGGCAAAAGGCGACUAGGGAAUGGAGGCCCUAUGUCUAAAAAGGCUCAACUCAAAGAUUGGAGCCCUAAUGUUGGCAGAAAAGGCGACUAGGGAAUAGAGGCCCCAUGAAUAAAAGGCUCAACGCAGGGAUUGGAGCCCUAAUAUUGGCAAAAAGAGACUAGGGAAUGGAGGCCCUAUGUCUAAAAGGCUCAACUCAAGGAUUGGAGCCCCAAUAUUGGCAGAAAAGGCGACUAGGGAAUGGAGGACCCAUGUCUAAAAAGGCUCAACUCAGGGAUUGGAGCCCUAAUGUUGGCAAAAGGCGACUAGGGAAUGGAGGCCCUUUGUCUAAAAGGCUCAACUCAGGGACUGGAGCCGUAAUGUUGGCAAAAGGCAACUAGGGAAUGGAGGCCCUAUGUCUAAAAAGGCUCGACUCUGGGAUUGGAGCCCUAAUAUUGGCAGAAAAGGCGACUAGGGAAUGGAGGACCUAUGUCUAAAAAGGCUUAACUCAUGGUUUGGAGCCAUAAUGUUGCCAAAAGACAACUAGGGAAUGGAGGCCCUAUGUCUAAAAAGCUCAACUCAGGGAUUGGAGCCGUAAUGUUGGCAAAAGGCGACUAGGGAAUGCAGGACCUAUGUCUAAAAAGGCUCGACUCUGGGAUUGGAGCCCUAAUGUUGGCAAAAGGCGACUAGGGAAUGGAGGCCCUAUGUCUAAAAUGAUCAACUCAAGGAUUGGAGCCCUAAUGUUGGCAGAAAAGGAGACUAGGGAAUAGAGGCCCCAUGAAUAAAAGGCUCAACGCAGGGAUUGGAGCCCUAAUAUUGGCAAAAAGAGACUAGGGAAUGGAGGCCCUAUGUCUAAAAAGCUCAACUCAAGGAUUGGAGCCCUAAUAUUAGCAGAAAAGGCGACUAGGGAAUGGAGGACCUAUGUCUAAAAAGGCUCAACUCAGAGAUUGGAGCCCUAAUGUUGCCAAAAGGCAACUAGGGAAUGGAGACCCUAUGUCUAAAAGGCUCAACUCAGGGACUGGAGCCGUAAUAUUGGCAAAAGGCAACUAGGGAAUGGAGGCCCUAUGUCUAAAAAGGCUCGACUAUGGGAUUGGAGCCCUAAUGUUGGCAGAAGGCUACUAGGGAAUGGAGGUCCUAUGUCUAAAAAGCUCAACUCAGGGAUUGAAGCCCUAAUGUUGGCAAAAGGCGACUAAGGAAUGGAGGCCCUAUGUCUAAAAGGCUAAACUUAGGGACUGGAGCCGUAAUGUUGGCAAAAGGCAACCUGAGAAUGGAGGACCUAUGUCUAAAAAGGCUCAACUCAGGUAUUGGAGCCCUAAUGUUGGCAAAAGGCUACUAGGCAAUGGAUGCCCUUUGUCUAAAAAGCUU
rnacentral:lncRNA from 1 species